GACGAACGCUGGCGGCGUGCCUAAUACAUGCAAGUCGAACGAGUGGCGGACGGGUGCGUAACACGUGGGAACCUACCCAUCAGCGGGGGAUAACACUUGGACACAGGUGCUAAUCCCGCAUACUGAUGGAUGAACCCGCGGUGCAUUAGCUAGUAGGUGGGGUAAAGGCUCCCCUAGGCGACGAUCUCUAGCUGGUCGGAGAGGAUGAUCAGCCACACUGGGACUGAGACACGGCCCAGACUCCUACGGGAGGCAGCAGUGGGGAAUAUUGCACAAUGGGCGCAAGCCUGAUGCAGCCAUGCCGCGUGUAUGAAGAAGGCCUUAGGGUUGUAAAGUACUUUCAGCGGGGAGGCGUUACCCGCAGAAGAAGCACCGGCUAACUCCGUGCCAGCAGCCGCGGUAAUUC
rnacentral:rRNA from 1 species